CACGCUUCUGCCUUUUGGCUAAGAUCAAGUGUAGUAAUCUGUUCUUUAUCAGUUUAAUAUCUGAUACGGCCCUCUAUCUGGGGAACGGCCAUAUAUUAAAUUGAUUUUGGAACAGGAGAUGGGAAUAGCUGCCGGUUCGGUUCCAAUUCCCAGACGACGACCUGGUAUUGCAGUACUUCCAGGAGCCGUGUGCACUUU